UACGUAGGGUGCAAGCGUUAAUCGGAAUUACUGGGCGUAAAGCGUGCGCAGGCGGCUUUGCAAGACAGAUGUGAAAUCCCCGGGCUUAACCUGGGAACUGCAUUUGUGACUGCAUGGCUGGAGUGCGGCAGAGGGGGAUGGAAUUCCGCGUGUAGCAGUGAAAUUCGUAGAUAUCGGGAGGAACACCGGUGGCGAAGGCGGCGACCUGGGUAGAUACUGACGCUGAGGUGCGAAAGCGUGGGGAGCAAACAGG
rnacentral:rRNA from 1 species